UACUUCAAUUGCCCGUCCCCUUGCUCUGCUUCCAGGAGACAGGGAGAGAGAAACUCUAACUCCAUCUUCUCUGCAGCACUCAUGGUUUCAUAUAUGCUUAUUGUGUCCCCUGUGAUCUGUCUCCCAAGAUGUUGUGGCCUCUCUGUGUGCCUCCCUUUCCAGGUCAUUAAACAGCAUGAAGCCUAGAACAAAACCUUGGAGCACCUGCUGUUAACCUUUAAUAGCAGCCAGCAGCAAAGAAGAGCUACCACAUCUGUUUUGGCCAGGAGAGGAGGCAGCUGAACAAUGAGCAAAAGCAGAUAAGCACCAAGGGGGUCCUACUGCAGUCUGGAGAAAUUUGAGGAUGUUGCCUCCACUGAAGGACAUCUGGAGUGGCAGAACCCCCAGAUAUAAGCCAGCCUCCAUAUGCAAUAGUGAAGAUUCAGAGCAGGGUUUAAACAAUGGAAGAUAUGGCAGUGAAGACACUAAUGUCUGUCCAGACAGUUGCCACAUGGCAGCUCUACCUUUUCUUGGUCCUGGAUGUAUGGUCAUCUGCUCCAGACUGGGUGUGGAGUGACUGAGUGACCUCUGCAUCCUUUCACAGUGACUGGGUGACCUCUGCAUCCUUGAGAAUGUCAGGUCUACCAUGGAAAGGUGUCCAGGAGAGUGCUUUUAGCCUUGCAGCAUAAUACUAAAGGGACAUCAGGAGUUAGUGUCUUUAUCCAUGGUGCAAAAUAAGUGGGCACAGGUAUUCCAUGAAAAGCCAGUGCAUGUACAUAGCAUUUGGACUCUCUGAUCAAACUUCCUGAGGUCAUUUUAAAUACUCCCUGUAACUUCAGUCAGGCCCAUACUGGGCCUUGAAUCCUUUGUGGAGGGGUUAUUGAAAAACAGUGUUACCGCUGGCAACUGAGUCCAUUGAGUCUCCUCUCCUAGACUACCUGGAGUCAAGAGAAAAGUUCUUGCUUGCUUCUGAACCUCAGUCAGCAGAGCUUUAUUCUGUGGCUGGCUUAUCACUUGACAGUAUAUUAAGAUGCAUUAUCAAGAUGGGAUGGAGGAGCCUCCAAGGAGCUAUGUUAUGUUCCAGCACAUACUAAUUUGUGAUUCAAAUAAUAAAUUUCAUAGACACUA